rnacentral:rRNA from 1 species
GUGAGGAAUUUUCCGCAAUGGGCGAAAGCCUGACGGAGCAAUGCCGCGUGAAGGAUGAAGGCCUAUGGGUUGUAAACUUCUUUUCUCAGAAAAGAAUUAUGACGGUAUCUGAGGAAUAAGCAUCGGCUAACUCUGUGCCAGCAGCCGCGGUAAGACAGAGGAUGCAAGCGUUAUCCGGAAUGAUUGGGCGUAAAGCGUCUGUAGGUUGUUUAAAAAGUAUUCUGUCAAAGAUUAGGGCUUAACCCUAGAUAGGCAGAAUAAACUUUUAAGCUAGAGUUUGGUAGAGGCAGAGGGAAUGCCCGGUGGAGCGGUGAAAUGCGGAGAUAUCGGGAGGAACACCAAAGGCGAAGGCACUCUGCUGGGCCAAUACUAACACUGAGAGACGAAAGCGAGGGGAGCAAAUGGGAUUAGAAACCCUGGUAGUCC